UUGUUUGUUUGUUUUGUUUUAUUUUUUUGUUUUAAUUUUAUUUCAUAAUUUGUUUUAGUUUGGUAAAAUAUCCAAUUAGCACCUAACAUAGUAACAUUAAUUAUACCACUGCCACAACAACUUUGGCACCUAGCUAAAUAGCUUAGUAUUUUGUAAAAUAUAUUAGGAGUAUAACUAAUUGUUUUUGCUGUUGUUUUAAUCACCUUAGGGUAUUAAUUAUUUUAUAAAGAUGUUGUUUCUCCACCAAUAAUAUCCAUGAUUUAUUUGUCACAUUAAGAACAUUUUAGUUUUGACUUUCGAUAACUUUAAUUGUUUGACUUGACUUAAAUUUGAAAUUGAAUGAGAUUUGAAUCAUCGCAAGAUUAACAAUAGUAAUCAUGGUGACGUGGCAUCAUUAGCCGAGGUUUACUGUAGCGUAACUAUCCGGGCGUCACAAUUCUCCUCCACUACAAGAAAUCUCGUCCCGAGAUUUAAGAGGUGGAAUAAGGGGGAAAGGUUUGGUUACGAAAUCCUAACGAAUCUUCUUGGUCAUGGAUGCUCUUCACAAAGAGGUCGAUCCAUUAUGUUGAUGUCUUCAUUCCUCUGCUUCAGGGCAUCAUGAUGAAGUCGCCAUCCUUUCUUCAGGAUCUCCAUCGUACUUACGAAUAGGUAAGGGGCAGCUCGGCUACGACAUAAUGCUUAUGAGGGAAACAAUCUGGGGUUAACCCAUGAAUGAGCAUAAGAUUAUCUCUCGAGUUGAACAUAUAAAAUACAUCGAGAGUAAGGUACGAAGGUACAAUAAGAGGUUCCAAGUGGAUAGGUGGUUGCUCGAAGUCCGAACCAGAGUGAGAAAGGGGUUCAGAGUAGCGACAGUAAAUAUUGCGUCUGAUACCAUAAUAGAGCACUAGGAAGGUGGCCCAUGAAUUAAAUAUGAAGCCAAGCGUGGGGAAUAACCACUAGAAACAGGGUUGUACAGGAGAGUCAGGUUUCGAUCCAGUGGACCUGUGGGUUAUGGGCCCACCAUGUGGGUUAGAAGUAGGAAGGGCGGAGACGUCUUGCGUGAUCAUGCAAGCAAGGCAUGUCAGGGGGGUAGCCUGUCGAUUAUGUCGGCGACAACGUCGAUACCAAGGGCGAGGGACGAAGAGAACUAUUUUCCUGCUCGUUGAACGAGGUGGGCCAAGAGGCAAAGUUAUCAUCCAUCGGCGGUUACCGAAAUGCCAUCAACAAUAGAAACAGGGUCUCACUGUCAGAGUUGUACACCGAGGUGUUUACCUACGCAGUGAAUUAUUACUGCUUAGAUUAUAUAGAUCACAAGAAAGGUUAAACCAAACAACAGAAAGGAAAUAUGGUUAUCAAAUUACACAUAACAAAGACAAGGAAAAUGUGUUUAAUCACAUAUUUCAGGGGUAUAACCUUCCCAAGGACAAGCAGAGCAUGAUAUCCAUGACAGGAUAUAAUGAAGAAAACUCUUUAGGUAGGGGAGAGAAUUUUCAUGACACUACCCAUACAACGGUGUUUGGAUAAUUGAGCAGGAAACUUUUAGCCUUGGGCUCCAAAUGUUCUUGUUGGAAAUCGGAGUAUCACAAACAAGCUUUUGAGAUAGCAUUGACAUGGUAUUCAAACAAAGGUUGAACUUUAGAUACUCAAUGGAUCCAUCAGGAACAGCUUAUAAAAUAGGUCUUAUAAUUUCCUCCAGGAGGAGUGGUUAUCCUUGCAAAAGAAAUUAUAACGAUAGGUCCUCCACCUAGGGGGGUGCUAGGCAUGACAUCAUGUUACCGGGUCAUCAAAGAACCAACAUCAUAACUCUUGGAAAGUUGUCCCAACCAUCAUAUCUGACUGAGAUUCAGAUCCGAUUGGUGUCAUGAUACCUCAGACUCAGGAUGUCCGAGAAGAAAAGGGGCUACACAACUCGACGAAAUGACAUUGCAAGAUUCUCAGGAAAUGAACUAUGGGAGCGGGUUCCUGAAACAAUAGUUCAUCAUUAAACCAAGGAGGGGAUGAGAAGGUGGCUGAUGGGCUCAGCGACAAUUCAUCGAAAAUUCCAAGCGGAUGGAUUUUCCACAAUAAUGUGAACAAGGAGAUAGCACUUGUCAGACCAAAUGGUAUAAUGAAGCAUGCUCAAGGACAACAUACACAACUAAACAUUGGUUGAAAGGUGCACCCGAAAUAUGGGUUGGGCUGCACGACCAAUGUCAGAAUGGUGAUUCAAUAAUCAAUAGUCUAAGAAUGAACGGUUGACCAUUAACUUCAAAGCAAUAGGGUUGCUAGAAGUACAGAAUCCAAACAGCACCGUUCACUUUUUGGUACCCCGGUUGAAAUCAACACGAGGACCAUGAAAGAAUGGUGAUGGUGAGAAGUAGCACUACACCAAGAACUCUCAAGAGGUGGAACAAAUCUCAGAACAUUCUUGACAUAAAAGAUGGUAAUACUCCAAGAUAAAGAAGAACAAAGGCUGGAUAGCAAGGAACUCAAGGUAUAACACAAAACAUGAACAAGUUUGUGUUGGGGGAAGGCAAGAAUGUCGUCGAUGAUAACACAAUCAUCAAGGGGCAAGGAUGGUAUUUCUCAUCACGAAUUCGAUUGAUAUCCUGUAAGAGCUCAGAAUGUAGAUGAUGAUUACGACACAUUUGUCGAGAGGUUUCAUGAAGAUGUAAUCGAAUAACGAUGACAUCAAGUCAAAGGACUGAUGAAGCGAAAGUUACUAAAACCAAGGGUACGACACGAACUCGAAAUCAAGCUUGAUGUUCAAGGCGAAAUGAUAUGACAAGGAAGAUCGACGUAAGUCUAGCUCAUCGUCGAAAGUUGUGCUCCGAAAGAAGGACCAGGUAGCACAGUUCAAAUUUUGCAUGAUAAUGAUAUAGCUGAUAAGGCUAGGAAUGACUUGAAGGAUUAUUAAACUCAUAAGCAACAAGAAUUACUUAGAGUUAUUGAAUCGGAGUAUGGAAUCGAUUCACUUAUCGGUGUUCCCGAGUGUCUAAUAACUCGGAGCCCGUGGAAAAUUGGAAUCAGCGAGAAUGUAGUACUUGAACAAGAACUCAUAAGAAGUAAUGCAGUUCCAAGAUAAUCUCAAGAUACCAGGGGGGUAAUACUCGAAGACAGAUCAAAGUAGAGGUUGGACUGGGGUGUUAAUCCGCAGAAGACAAAUGUUUAAACUUGCCCGAGAAAUGGGAACAAAGAAGAACAAUAUGGUCGAAACCAUAACUACAAGGGGUCCAAUUUAAUAACACCGAAAGAAUUACUCGAAUGAGUAAAUAUUGGCAAGAAGCUUCCAUGAUAAGUUCCACAUCAGGUCCAUGGGCAUGAACUCAGAGAUCAAGGUCGACUCCCACUUCUUCAAUGUAUAACCUCCCAUUCACUUCUCCCUUUGAUAAAGGCAUUAGUGUUGAAAGUUUUACCUGGUGUAAUACCAGACGAGUAUGACUCGUGAAAACUUUCGAGUUCACACAUAUUAAGGAAGGCAUGCGUUCAACCCGUCAGGGUAUCGUGGAAACAUAUACCACAAGCUUCAAUCGUAAAUACCACCAGCUCGAAAUUAGAGCAUGGUUGAUAAAACAGAGGAUACAAUUUACCAAAAGCAUUAUGUAUCAGAGGAAAGGCUCACGAGGUUAUUGAUUAAGGAGGACACUGUCGAAUAAUAAUCCAAUAAAGGAUCCGACGGUCCAUAGCGGAGGUGAUGUGAGCAUCGGCCCACAAUCAGUUGAAGAACGGAUGCAAGGGCAUCAGAUUAUAGAACACCUGAAUGAUUCGAUGCUUAGAUAUCAAAGGAAUUACGAUUUCCAAAUAGAAGGAUCAGAAGAAGACGCUCUGAUCAAGGGUGGAUAAGUUCAAUAGACCUAAGGGUACAAUUGACGGCGAACAGAAUGGUCGACAACAAGCUCAUGUUCAAAAAUGACGUCUGAGCCAGAAAGAUAAUUUAAAAGGAUCAAAUGAUGAUUGCGUGCAUUCGCACUCAUGUUGAAUCAAUAGGAUCAAAAUGACGGUGCCUAAGGAUACUAACGAAUAUUGCCAGACAUAUGGAAAGCAUCCACAAUGCAAGCAGACAAGUAUUGCAGAGCAAUAAGCUACUAAGGAUUUUUGGAGUAUCGAAUAGUAUUUCGAAGACUUUUGUGAAACACAUGAACAACUGGGGAUAAGCGGAUACUCGACAAGUGCGAGAAUUAUCCAUAGGGGUAUUCAGGUGACAAGGAAUUGCAAGACAGUAGGCACAAGAUAUUCUCGGAUCAAUGGAGAGAAUUCCGGGGUAUCUUGUAAUAACAAGAUCAACUGGGAAUAAAAGUAAGAACGUCAAGUGUAUGUAUUUAUCCAUAGGGAUAUUUCGAUGGUAGGGAAUUGCAAAAGCAACGGGCACAAAGUCUCAAAAGAGUUUCGGCGAGUAACUUCGAAAUCUUCUGGUGCAGCCGGCGAUCACCUGGACUGAAGGGGCUCUCCGGGAGAAAGUAUUUUCGAGAACCUAAAGUCAGAUUUUAGUAAAAAUCGUUUAACCCGAGUAGAAGAGAGUUCAGAGUCCCAGAGUAAAGGUCUAGGAGUAAAAGAUCCUAGUACCACCCAAUGGCGACGUGGGCCCGUAAGGCACACAGCCAAGUUAGUAAAAGUUUUGCAAUGUCUAGACUCGACUUCGGCCAAGGAGUGUGGAAGGGGGAGUACUACAGGCAGUUGGCUCUGAUACCAACUUGUGACGCCCCCGAUUUAAUCGUACACUAAUCAUACAUGCAAAUGUGUAUGAUCAAGAUCAGGGACUCACGGGAAGAUAUCACAACACAACUCUACAAAUAAAAUAAGUCAUGCAAGCAUCAUAUUACAAGCCAGGGGCCUCGAAGGCUCGAAUACAAGAGCUCGAUCAUAGACGAGUCAGCGGAAGCAACAAUAUCUGAGUACAGACAUAAGUUAAACAAUUUUGCCUUAAGAAGGCUAGCACAAACUGGGAUACAGAUCGAAAGAGGCGCAGGCCUCCUGCCUGGGAUCCUCCUAACUACUCUUGGUCGUCAUCAGCGGCCUGCACGUAGUAGUAGGCACCUCCAGUGUAGUAGUCGUCGUUGACGGCGGCGUCUGGCUCCUAGACUCCAGCAUCUGGUUGCGACAACCAGAAAGAAAGGAAAGAGGGAAAAAGGGGGGAGAAAGCAACCGUGAGUACUCAUCCAAAGUACUCGCAAGCAAGGAACUACACUACAUAUGCAUGGGUAUAUGUGUAAGGAGGCCAUAUCGGUGGACUGAACUGCAGAAUGCCAGAAUAAGAGGGGGAUAGCUAGUCCUAUUGAAGACUACGCUUCUGGCAGCCUCCGUCUUGCAGCAUGUAGAAGAGAGUAGAUUGAAGUCCUCCAAGUAGCAUCUCCAAGUAGCAUCUCCAAGUAGCAUCUCCGGUAGCAUCGCAUAGCAUAAUCCUACCCAGCGAUCCUCCCCUCGUCGCUCUGUGGAAAAGCAAUCACCGGGUUGUCUGUGGAACUUGGAAGGGUGUGUUUUAAUAAGUAUCCGCUUCUAGUUGUCAUAAGGUCAAGGUACAACUCCAAGUCGUCCUGUCACCGAAGAUCACGGCUAUUCGAAUAGAUUAACUUCCCUGCAGGGGUGCACCAACUUACCCAACACGCUUGAUCCCAUUUGGCCGGACACACUUUCCCAGGUCAUGCCCGGCCGUGAAAGAUCAACACGUCGUAGCCCCACCUAGGCUCAACAGAGAGGCCAGCACGCCGGUCUAAACCUAAGCGCACAGGGGUCUGGGCCCAUCGCCCAUAGCACACCUGCACGUUGCGUACGCGGCCGAAAGCAGAACUAGCCCCCUUAAUACAAGAGCAGGCUUACGUUCCAAUCCGGCGCGCGCCACUCAGUCGCUGGCAUAGGCUCGUAGCCAACUCAGAUCAAAUACCAAGAUCUCGUUAAGCGUGUUAAGUAUCCGCGAACGCCGAACAGGGCCAGGCCCACCUCUCUCCUAGGCGGUCUUAACCUGCCCUGUCGCUCUGCCACAAGGUAACAGUUGGGGGCCGUCGGGAACCCAGGCCCACCUCUACCGGGAUGGAGCCACCUGUCCUUUCAGCCCCCAUCUCCGAACAGUACCACAGGUAAUGUAAUAGUGUAAAGUAUAUAGUAUAUACCCGUGAUCACCUCCCGAAGUGAUCACAGCCCAGUAGUAUAGCAUGGUAGACGGACAAGAGUGUAGGGCCACUGAUGGAACUCUAGCAUCCUAUACUAAGCAGUAGGAUAGCAGGUAAAGUUAACAACAGUAGUAGCAAGGACAGGCUAUGCAGCAGUAUAGGAUUAACUGAAAGCAGUAACAUGCUUCACUACUCUAAUGCAAGCAGUAUAGAGAAGAGUAGGCGAUAUCUGGUGAUCAAAGGGGGGGCUUGCCUGGUUGCUCAGACAAGGAGGGGUCGUCGGUGACGUAGUCGACCACAAGGGCAUCAGCAUCGGUCUCGGAGUCUACCGGAAAGGAGUAACGGAGGGGGAACACAAUAAAUAACAGAGCAAUCAAAUGUAACACAAAGCAAGACGCAGCAAUACGUUGUGCUAGGGGUGACCUAACGUAGGGAUAGGCGAUACCGGUGAAGGGGGAAACAUCCGGGAAAAUAUCCCCGGUGUUUCGUGUUUUCGGGCAGAGGAGCCGGAGGGGGAAAGUUGUGAGUUUGAUAUGUUAGGGGUGCGUGGCGGACGAACAGACUGCGUAUCCGGAUUCGUCUCGUCGUUCUGAGCAACUUUCAUGUUGAAGAUAUUUUAAUCCGAGUUACGGAUUAAAAGAUAUGAUUUUCUAAAGAUUUUAUUAAUUCUUGGAAUUUAAUUAAUUAUUUAAUUUAAUUCAAAAUUUGGUUUUAUGACAUCAGCAUGAUGUCAUGCUGAUGUCAGCAGUCAACAGAGUUGACUGGUCAACCUGACCAGUGGGUCCCACUGGUCAGUGACACAUUUUAAUUAGACAUAUUAAUUAACCUAAUUAGUAUUAAUUAGGGGGUGGGCCCCACUGUCAUUGACUGAUUAACUAAAACAGAUUAACUAGUUUAAUUGUUAAUUAGGUUAAUCUAAUCAGAAUUAGUUAAGUUAAUUAAUUUAAUUAAUUAAUUAACUGAUUAAUUAAUAUUUUUAUUAUUUUCUUUUAAUCUUUCUUUUUGAAACGUUCUGGGGCUGGGCCCCAUUGGCAGUGGCCCAGAGGGGCGAUGCGGUUUACAGGCGCUAGCGGGCGCCGGGUCUCGGGCGUCGCCCGAGUGAGGGGGGAAGCGAGGCAAGGCCAGUGGCAAACGCCGGCGAGGAGCGUGGCGUAGGGAGCCGCCGGACAGGGAGGGGUAAGGCGAAGGCCAUGGCAGAGCUGGGCGGUCGUGGCGAGGCACCGGCCGUGGCCGCGAGCGGUGAAGGCGCGGGUCGCGGCAGAGGCAAGGCCACGGCGGGGCCGGGAAGCAGCGGGCGGGCGCUGGCUGCACGGGGUGUGGCCGAGGCACAGUCGUAACCCUGGGCCAGCAUGCGGUAGGAGCCGCGGUUCGGGGCAAGUGGCGCGGGCGGAGCACGGCCACGGUGGCCUUGGGCGCAAGAAGGUGGUGUGGAGCGGCGAGCACAACGAGCGUGGCGCAGCCGGGUGGCCGCGGACGCGCAGCGACGGGCGUGGCGAGAAAGGGCGAUGGUGGCGGACGGGCGUGGUGCGAGGAACGAGAUAGAGACGGGGGAAAGCGGGGAUCGAGGGCGCGCUCACCGAGCCCUGUAGGCGUGCAACAGCAUGCUCGGGGAGGGCUCGACGGUGGCAUGCGUCGGCAAUGCGGACGGCGUCCUCGGGCGCGAGUAGAUCCGUCGAGGGAGAGGGAGAGGGGAGCGCGAGAUGGCGGAGCCGUCAAGGGCGACGUCAGAGCCGGCGAGGUGGUCCCGGGCGGCGGCGAGCGUUGGGCGUCGGGGUCGGCGAGAUCGGGGCCGAUCCCGAUCUAGAUCGGUGGGGGAGAAGGGGUCGUGGGGGGGGGAAGUGGGGUGCGGUUAGGGUUUCGGUCGUGCUGACCGGGGGGUUGUAGGCUGGGGCGCUGGGUGGGCCGGCCCAUUCGGCCGGCUGGGGCCAGCUGGGCCACUUGGCCCAGCGGAACAGGGGGGUUCUGUUUUCUCCCCUCUUUUUUUGUUUGUUUGUUUGUUUUGUUUUAAUUUUUUUUUGUUUUAAUUUUAUUUCCUAAUUUGUUUUAGUUUGGUAAAAUAUCCAAUUAGCACCUAACAUAGUAACAUUAAUUAUACCACUGCCACAACAACUUUGGCACCUAGCUAAAUAGCUUAGUAUUUUGUAAAAUAUAUUAGGAGUAUAACUAAUUGUUUUUGAUGUUGUUUUAAUCACCUUAGGGUAUUAAUUAUUUUAUAAAGAUGUUGUUUCUCCACCAAUAAUAUCCAUGAUUUAUUUGUCACAUUAAGAACAUUUUAGUUUUGACUUUCGAUAACUUUAAUUGUUUGACUUGACUUUAAAUUUGAAAUUGAACGAGAUUUGAAUCAUCGCAAGAUUAACAACAGUAAUCGUGGUGACGUGGCAUCAUUAGCAGAGGUUUACUGUAGCGUAACUAUCCGGGCGUCACA
rnacentral:lncRNA from 1 species